ensembl:lncRNA
CCCGCCCAAUCGCCCAGUGCCGUUCAAGAAGGUCGCCUGCGGUCAUGGUGAGCUCCUAGAAGGAGCCCGCCACCUCGUGGGGGAUCAGCGAAGCCUAACCACCGGGGUCCCGCCUCCUUGGGGGCUGCUUGGCUGCUUAGUCCUGGACCCUCUGAUGGCCGGAGGUGGCCACAGCAGAACAUGUGGAAGAUAGAGCUGGUGAGUGCUGGGCUCCCUGAGCUCCGUGAGGCCAACUCGGGCUGGCCGGUGACGCUGGCCACCUGUGAGGCAACCGGCCCAUGUUCCCAUCCCAGAACGCCUGCGAGGUGCUCUUCACGUCACUGCGGAAGAGCCUGGGGUCCAAGGACAGUGGCAAGAUUGUCUUCAAGACAGCUUGGAACAUGAUCCUGGCUUGAGGGUAGAAGGACGAGGCAAAAGAAGAAACCCAAGGUUUAUACACAUGAGAAAAGAUGUAUCUUAUGCCUGGUACCACAGUUAGUUUCAAAAGGUAUUCUCUUACUUCAGAUGUCCUGGCUUCAUGUGGACAAACAUUCCAAAGUAAGUUUAUUAAGAAGGGGGAAAUUAAGACACAUAAAAUAUG